rnacentral:rRNA from 1 species
CCUACGGGUGGCAGCAGUGGGGAAUAUUGGGCAAUGGGCGCAAGCCUGACCCAGCAACGCCGCGUGAGGGAAGAAGGUCCUCGGGUUGUAAACUUCUUUUAUUAAGGACGAAACAAAUGACGGUACUUGAUGAAGAAGCCACGGCUAACUACGUGCCAGCAGCCGCGGUAAUACGUAGGUGGCAAGCGUUAUCCGGAUUUACUGGGUGUAAAGGGCGAGUAGGCGGGACUGCAAGUCAGAUGUGAAAACCAUGGGCUCAACCCAUGGCCUGCUUGUGAAACUGUUGUUCUUGAGUGUAGGAGAGGCAAGCGGAAUUCCGAGUGUAGCGGUGAAAUGCGUAGAUAUUAGGAGGAACACCAGUGGCGAAGGCGACCUGCUGGACUGUAACUGACACUGAGGCGCGAAAGCGUGGGGAGCAAACAGGAUUAGAUACCCCAGUAGUC